CUGAGUGAGGAGGCCGCCUCUGGGUGACACCGCGCGCGCGUCAGGCCAUUUCUUGAGUGUAACCUGGCCGAAAGGGAAGCGGCGAGUGGGACGUCAGUGCAAGGGUGACAUGGAGGAGAUCGUGUGAAGAGAGAGGAGUUGAAAGAGUAUGGACUGACAUGGAUGGAGGUGAAAAGUGCAGUAGAAGGAAGACAGAAUUGGCAAAUGGAGACGUGCAGUUGAAUUCCUAUGUUCCACUAGGAGCCCAAGGGAACAAUAAUAAUAUAAUAAUAAUUGUGGACUACGAACAUGAUACUGACUCGAUCAAGUUAGCAAGCGAAGUAACAUGAAGAUGCUUGCAACUGCGGAGUCUUGUGCAAUUAGAGUUUAUAAACCAGGUCUGUGUGUAGAAAAAGGGAAUGGCGGUAACUCAAAAACUACCAUAGUAUUAUAUUUUACGUAUUAGCUGUUAUUCUAAUUAAUAUUUUAUUCUACUUCACAUCAUUACUAUUUCUGAUUCACAUGAAAUAUCUUUUAUCAUUAACAUUAUCUUAACUCCUUUUAACAUCAUUAAUAUUAUUAUUACUUUACUAUUAUUAGAAUUGCUAUUAUUAUUGAUAUUAUUUGGUUCUCAAUUUUUCAAAAGAAUGCUUACUGAAUAAAGAAUACUCUGUUCGAUAAUUUCAUCAUCAGGUUCUACAGUUAUAUAUACACAUAAUACUGAAUGAAUUGGUGUUAUUAACAACAACAUUAAUGUUGCUGUUUAAAUAACAUCGAAUCAAUAAUACUUAUAUCAAUGGAUUACGAUCCGACAGUAUCAGCAUAACAAUACGCUGAAUGAAUCGUCAGAGAAAUUAGGAAAGAUGAUAAUAAAAAAAUUCAUGAAUUUAUAGUCUCUGCUUAAGGCUAAGGCUAGUAGUAGUGACUGGCUGGACGUGUUUCUUCUGUACACAGAGCCUUGGUUAUUUAAGGUGAGUAGCGAUAGACUCUGCUGUUUGAAGCAUGCGGUAUUUCAGUGCUUUUAGCAUCUAUAGUAAGCCUGAUAAAAAUUUACCGAAAAUACAUAUUUGCUUGCAUGAAUCAUGCUGAUCCUUCGAUGUCGGCUCUUCCUAUCAUUGUGAAGCAGAAUUCACCAAGCGUUGGAUUGUUCACCCACUAAUAGGGAAUUUUGAGCUGGGUUUAGACCGCAGUUUUACCCUACUAAUGAAUACAGUAAUUACUGAAGUACAAUCUGGCCGUUGCUAUGGUAAUCCUGUUUAGUACGAGAGGAGCCGUAGGUUCAGACAACUGGUAUAUGUGCCUGGUCGAAAGGCCAAAGAUGCGAAGCUACCAUCUGAGAGAUUAAGACUGAACGACUCUAAGUCUGAAUUCCGUGCAUAUCUGCAACGGUACAUUCCGUAUCCGACAAGUGGCUGGGCAAGCUUACGUAUUCCUUUUGGUGUCUGAACUAUACCGNNNNNNNNNNGUCUGGUGUUACACCAGAGCGAUGACCAUAAACUAUGCUCCGGAUUUCGGGGUGUAGGGGUCGAUACGAUAUCUAAUUGUGGUAUGAGCGUGAGGAUACUAAAUCGUUUGUAGAAGACUUAAUGUUUUGUCGGGGAGACGUAAGUGCUCGAGCAGCUAUUACACUGCGAGGCAUCGAGUCCUAUCCCUGCUUGACGUAAUGAAAAUU
rnacentral:ncRNA from 1 species